UACUGAAAUAGUCAGAGUAAAGUUUAAAAAAAGUAUAGGUUUAAACAGAGGAAAAUUUGUUGCUGAAGUGAGCUCCUUCACUGGGGAGCUGCACGGUCCCUCAGCAUCUGAUAACACUGCAGAGCAGGAGAGAGAGCACUGGCCUUGCAAGUGUGUCAGAGGAAUCUGCCUCCACCCUGAAACCAGGGGGAGGAGAGGAGGAACUGUAUUUUUGGCACAGGUUACUUUGUGUGUUUACAUUUUCUGCUGAUAUGGAUUGCCUGUAAUGGCCAAAUAUGAGUGAUUCAGUUAAUUUGGGGCUCUUUUCCUCAUCUAGCCUCACGGUAGCUUUGCAGUGCUGCACAGGGAUGCAGAUCUGGGGCUGUUUAAAUACUGCUUACUUUUCAGUGUAUCCCACUCCUCCUGGCAGUGAAGCAGUGUGUAAAUGUGUGUCAGUGUGUGCUGAGCCUUUGGGUUCAUUGUUAGGGUAAAUUUGCUGUUAUUGGCCGAGCAGACCGUGCUGGAGUGCCUCAGCAUCCUCAGGGCAGUGGUACCGAUGGAGCUGGGAAGCUGCAGCUGGGACACCCACCCAGAAGGAGCGGUGAUACCGGCAGGGAUGACGGAGGUGGGUCGGCUUAGCUGAGCCCCACGGGGCUUCAUCAGGGCUGCAGUGAUGCUCUGCUUCCUCAGGAGCAAGACUUGGUGCUGCUGAGCAUGUGUUUCUCCUGGACCAGGCUGCUCCAAUUUCAGUAAUACAGUGGGGAGAGUUUGCAAGAACUGAAACCAGCUUGCACAGAAAGUGAAAGGACCAAGCUUUCCUAAACCCACCAUCCCCAGCUCUGUGGGAAAGACUUGCAGGCUUGUAGUCUGCUUUCUCCCAGCAAAUUCACAGCACGCAUUUCAGUCUCAUGUUCAUGCAUGUCUUGGAGAGUAAAAGAAGUCUCACCUGUGCAGGAGCAGCUGGAAACGAGGAGAGAGGCAAACAUGACCUGCAGGCUUUCUAGCUAACAGACAUAAAUCAUGUGCCUUGGGAUGACCUUGACAGCAGCAACAACUGUUUCUCCUGUUGAUUGUCUCACACAUGUGUGCUUGACACAGGUAUUCAGAUGCUUGAGAUUAGAAGAAAUCCUGGCAGUGGAGGCAGACAGAGUCUGGAUGAGUUCACCCUCGCCAGGGAGCUGCCUGGGGGAGCAGAGCACACCUGCAGAGACCUCCUCACCCCCUGUGCUGCAGGGCAGGAGCCACGUCCUGUGCCAGCCUCUGGAGUCACACAGCCCUGGCUGCCUUUGGGGGAGCUGCUCUGGAGGCGUGGCAGGCUGUGCCCCAGGGGCUGCUUGGCACCUCUUGGUAGCAGAAACAAGGCAGCAGAGAUUCAGGGAGAGGAGUACCACCUUCCAAGUGAGAGCAGCGAGUUGUUGCUCAUUUUCUGGUUCUCCCACUGAAACUGCACUUCAGGAAUAUUUUUUCUGAGGCUUGACCUGCAAACAGCUUUGCACCAGUGUAGCCAAAGAACUGGUUUUAAACCAAUAGAGAACCAAUCCUCUCUGGUUGCUCAUCUGUUGAGAACUGGUAUACUUGUGUUUGGCUUGUCCUGGGAGGGGCUUGGACAAACGCCUUCUUCCAGCUCCUGCCUUCAUAGCAGAACCAUCAGGCUCCCUCAGGUCUGCCACUGCAGCUGCACAACCUCCUCAGUCAAAAUGAAUUGGUUUUGGAGCCACUGUUUAUAUCUUUAUACCUAUAACUUUUGUGUGCAGCUGGACUUGCAAAGCUUACGGCAGCUGUUUUGCUAUAAACGUUGCUUGCAAGCUUUUCUAACAAAGACCGGCCCUUGACAAGUGUUUCAUAGCCCUCUAAUCAUAUCACAGCAUGGAGUGCCACAUGUUGGAGGCCUCUCCUCUGGCACCAGGUUUUGUAAUCUCUCCUUUAAUGCCUGGUUUCUGGCUGCUGGAGUGAGGUUUCCUGCUCAGGGCUGCAGGAACAAUCAGAGCUUGUGUCUGACCCGCUGUUCAAAGCCAGCCUUGUGCCCCAAGCCCUGCUGGUGCUGCUCAGGAGCCCAGCCCUGGCACUCAGCUCCUGCUGCAGCCAUCUGCAGGGGCAGCAUCCUCAGGGACAGAGCAGAGGGCGAGGCUUUCUGACAAAACACAAAGCCUUUGUUGAGGGAGGUGUCCAUCUGAGAGGAGGGCUGUCAGCAGGGCUUUUCCUGUGCUGCCUUUGGGACUCAGCGUGUGCUGGGAGCUCCACUCCUGCCAGGAGAGCAGUCCCUGGUUUCAGCAGAUGGCCUUGGGGAAGAGACCUUAUGACUGCACGUUCUGGUUUGCCUUUCUCUAAACCGUGGUUGGUGAUGGCUCCCUCGCCGUGGACCGGAUCCGCCUGGGAGGGAGUGACGCACGGCGAGCACAGACUGUCAUUGUGGGAUGGAGUCACAUGGAGCUCCUCGGACAAACGGAGAGAAAAGCAAAACCACUUCAUCUCUGACUCCUCCCUUGUGAACAACCUUCUCAGAUAAUACACGAGGCAAGGAGUUUUGCACUGAGAUUGCAGGGUAGUCUUUGCUCCCAGGUAUUACUCAAGCUCUUCCUCCUGCUGUUACAGACCCGUCUGAAGUGGUAUGAAAUGCAGCAAGUUGCUUAAAACGUGUCUGAGCAGGCGAAAGAAAGAAAAGGUCUGGUAUUCUGGAAGCCAGCAGAUGUAAAGCCUGGCAGGAAGGUAUGUCAGGCACACCUCAGCCAGCUCUGUGCUGGUUAGUGCAGGUGAGACAGCACCCCAGUCCAGCAGGGCAGCAGGAUAAAUGGACACACACACUUGGCCCAUGGUAACACCUGACAUUGCUGCAGGUAAACUUGUGCUGUAACCCCAGCAGCUGUGCUUCACUGAGAGGUGACAGCCAUGUAAGUGAGAUCUACUGCAUCAUGACCUGUAAAACAUUGCUAUUUUGAGAUUGCUGCUCUUGCACUUGUCUUUCCAUCCAGUUAAAUUGGUGCCUGAAAAUAUUCUCUAACAACUCUGAUUCAUUCACUAUGGGUUGUUUUUUUUUCUGGUAGCUGUUUUAGGUUUUUUUCCCUCCUUAUUUUAACUGUGUUUAAGUAGAAAACUUAGAUGAGCAGACAUGAUAUUCAGACACUGUGAGAGGUAGAAGUACAGAAUGAGGCAGUUUGUUUUUCCUGUCCUAGCUAGCCAAGCAAUAGCCUGCUCAGUCAGCCCUCCCAGCCACAACUGGGUGCAGCCCAAGGCUCCUACCCCACACCACAAUUACAGACAUCCACAUUGUUCCCAGCUAAUUGCUUUCUCCUGUACAGAAGCUGGCUUUCUUUGAACUGCAGCACAAUGUGACACCAGGCAUCACGUUGCCUUCCUCCUCACUCUCCUGUGGCCUUAGCAACCUGAUACAGCUGUGACCAAAACAAUGCCCAUGGCUGUUAAAGUCAACACAGCUUUCCAGUGUUUUAUGAGAGAAUUGAGGAGGGAAAUGCUGAUGUGGCCUUGCAUGAGCCUUCACGGUUCCCUGAACUAACUAGACUGGUCUUCCUCCCUGCUUUCAGGCAAGCCAAGCUGUAUUAAUCACUUUAUCAAGAAAUAACACAGUGCAAUGGGGUAGGAUUUCUGUAGGCUCAGAAACACAGGAGGAAAAGCAGUGUAAAUCUCAGUUUAAAGCCAAGACUCAGCCUCAUCUGGGCUUUAACUGGGCAGACUGGUGUCCGCUGUAGGCAGCUCGUUUCAGUUCUCUGCCUUGCCCCUGUGCCCAGGGUACCCUGGGUUAACUCCCAGGGUUUGUUUCUCCUCUGGUUCUCUGUGUAGAUGGGAAUGGCCACUCAGUGCUGAGGCUCUCUCUGGACUUUCAAGUCUUAACAUCUCCAAGUCAUCCUUGAGCAACUCUUCCCUGUGCCUGCUUCCACUGCCCUUCUUGCUUGGCCACAACAUGUCAGGAUGUAAAUUAAUGUCCCAUUGUGCCAUUGUCCUUGGGCUUGGUGCUGUAUUUGCCAUGUGAAAGCUGCUGGAGUGUUCAGAGUUCCUUCCAAAGGAAGCUUUACCCCACCAUGUACUGUGCUGGAACCAGCUGGUGCCCUGUCUGUGUCCCAGCCUGCUCUGGCAUGCAAGGUGAGAUUAGAGCCUUUGCACUGCAGGUCUGAGCCUGGUGGGGGAUUGGGUUUGUUUUGAAGGAAUAUUGAAGAAAUAACUGUUAUUACGUGGCUGUCCUGUGAGUUGUUCUUCACCCAAGAACAGCAAAUGCUGCUGCAAGUCCCUUCCUCCACAGGGUACCUUGAAUUGACCCCAGGCCCCACAGUCCUUCAGGACUCAUUUGCAUUUCACAGCUCACAAAUAUGCACCAGUAGCUGCUGUUUGUUCCAGUGAAAGAGGGGGUAUUUCUUCCUAGCUCCCUGACUUUCCUGGGUCUCAGUGCAAAUCCCUGACUCUGUUCUCCAGUAGAAUAAGUUAUGGGGAUUCCCUGAUCUGCACGGCAAAUUUUUCAAUUUGGUAUUGCUUUGCUUUUAGACUGGGUCUCUGGGGCACUUUCUGUUUCUUUUUAAAAGCAGAAAUAAAUUUGCCCCAUUUUGCAUGAAAUGCAAGUGACAAUGCAAGUCCCUUACAUAACAAACUUGUUCCAGCUUCCUCCUAAGAAGUAUUGAUUUGGAUUUACAAAAUUACAUUUCACCACUUGGGCAGGGAGUGAUUGGGCAAAAUUCUCAGAAAAUACGAGCACCAAGCAUCCUUAACCUUGCAAAUGAAAUUGAAAAAGCAAGAAGAAACCUGUGUGUCUGUAGCACCCCCAGCCUUCUCCCAGGCAGUUCUGGGCAGCAUUUUCCUGGCCAUCCUCUACCAGAUGAGCUGGCUCCAUGGCUUCAGCUCUGCACUUUUCUAAGGCUGAGUGUACAGAAGUCCUCACUCAGCUGUGUGCUGUCUGCCCAGCUGCAUGUGUCCCAUUUCAAGUUGUGCUGAGCUAGGUGCUUUCAGAUACUGGCAGAUAACUCAUUCUGUAUCCUGGUGUAUACUCCAGAUUUGCACCAUAUUAAAUUAAUUUCAUCAGGAAUUAUUGCCACGUCCUUCAAAAUCUCACAUGAAAGUUGCUUUGAAAGCAACAAUAAAUUAAUAUUUUCAGUGGGAUGGAAUUUAGGGCAAGGAACAUGUUGGCUUAAAAGUAUUUACCAAGGAACCAAGUCACAGAGGUGCUGGCCCUGUUUGAUGUCAGUUUGUUGCAUCACUUUAUCUAAAUUGAGUUUCUGCUAUCUCUGCUUCCUUCUGUUCAUGCUGGGGCACUGUUACUGCUGUGGUUCCUGAGAACCCCUGGCAGGCUGGAUGGCACUGCCCAGUGAGAAGGUUGUCACAAACAGAACUUAGGAACUAGAACCCUAAGAGACAUCACCCCACAAAAAUUGGGGCACGUGUGUGGGAGGGAUUGGUUGGGUCUGUUGAUGUGUGUAUUGUGUGUGCUCAGUGGUGGCAGAGCAGCAGAGAGACUCUGUGCUUUCAGGAGCUGUGUCACCACCCAAAGUGCCAGCCCAAGUUUGAUUCUGGAUUGUGCAUGGUCAGGGCUGAGGUGAGGAUGUCUUCCCCCAGGGCUGUUCUCACAACUGCAGUGAAUAACUCCCCUAAAGGGAAUUACCCUGGGGCAAAUGCUGCCCCCCCCCACAGCUGGCAUUGUGUUCCCUCAGCAGAGCCUUGGCCACAGGACAAAGGGAGUAGGAAAUGGAUGGGACCUGGAGCAAUGGCUGGCACUGGAGGGGCUGCUCCUGCUGGGUGGGUGUGUGGGAGGACAGUGAAGUGGAGUCAAAUUGAAAGCUGCUUUUGAUCCCUUAUAAUGAUUUUUUGUGAUGUCAGGUAUUUAGUGGUUUUCUUUUUUAAAAUUCUUUUUUUGAAACAUCAUAGUGUUUUAAUGUUGUGCUAUGUAACAGGGUAUAUACAACAGUGAUUAGUUUGGGAAUUUCUUCAGAUCUUUAGGGAUGCCACAGUUUCUUACUUGACAAUAUAAUAAUAUAUGAGAGCCCAUCUUGGCUGCAGGCUGUGGUAAUUAGCCAGUUUUGCUAUAAAGCUGCUCCAGCAGUGCUUUGAAGCCCUGCCAGCUGCCAGAGCCCUUCAGCUCAGCCAGGGCCACACGAGGUGCUGGGAGCUGCAGGUUCCUGUCCCUGAUGUGGGGCUCUCAGACCAUGGGUGGCAAAUGUCACACACAGCACACUUCCAGCUGCAUCCCCUGGCUUCAAAGACUCUGUCAAGAAGCCCUGUGUAAACACUGCAUUUUUGUAAAAAUAUUCCAGAUUAGUCUUCUUCUAGAAGGCAAUAUGAGUGAAUAAACUAGGUGAUAAUGGUCUACAUAGAAAAGUGAUAAAACUCAUCUGUGCAGUGAAUCUGAGUCUGGAUCUUACUUCAAUCGGACAUUGGUAGGCUCUGUUUUUAUUUUCUUUUGCCUGUGAUGAUCAAAAAAGAUGGAUUAUCUCAAAAUCAUAGAACUUUGAGAGGCUUUGAAUGGUUACCUAAAGUUUAAUUUUAAAGAAAUACAGGAGACUGCUCAGAAAGACACUUUGCAUAGAAAACAUACUUGGAAAAGGCAGUAGAGAGGAGGUUAGGAGCCAAAUCUAAGGAAACAGUCAGAGAAUAAGAUUCCUGAAUGAUUUGUCCAUAUGCAUACUUCUAGGGGCCUUUCAGGAAUGACUUCAAUAUUUAAGCCCUUUUUCCUGUAGUACUGAAAAUCUUUGCUAACACUUCAGCUCUAUCUCCUCUAUUUGUUAUUUGUAACACAUGACUGCCUCUACUAUAUGUGCUUUCUCCUCUUAAGUAAGUUACACCUCAUAAGCAUUCAAGAUUAUAUCUUUAAAAGAAAGUAUAAUGUCCCAAAGAACAAACAUAGCACAGCAUAACCUUUACCUGGCUGGGUUUGAGACAACAAAGCUAUGAAAGAGCUCUGGUGUUUAACAGUGGAAUACAAGUCGUUUUGUGAAUGCUUUCUUCUCUUUUCAUAGAAUAGUUUGGGUUGUAAGGCACCUCAGUGAUCAUCUAGCUCCAACUCCUUGCUGUGGGGGUUGCCAUUAAUGACUGCUUAUCUUUUUUUUUUUCUAAUGUUAUAUUUAUUUUUGAAAGAAAGUUUGACUUUAACAGUCAGCAUAUAUCCCUUCAAAAUGUUGUAAAGGUACCUUCCAGCUCCUUCUCACACCAAUGACUCUGGAAGCUAUUGCUUUUUAGCUUCCCCAUCAGUCACUAGCUGGACUGGCAUGGACAUCUUCACCCAAAUGCCAGUGGGAUCACAGUGAGAGGCUUCUGUGGCUGUUUUUCAUUAUGUUUAACCACAUCACCACCCCUGUGAGGUUACAGCUUGCAUGAGAUCAGCUUAUGGAGGAAAACCAGCUUUUUGGGGACAGAAGAAAGCACUCUGAAAAGUCUACAGAGUCCUUGUCUGGAAGUAGAAAGCUGUAAUUGUCCAAUUUCAUCUGCAAUUUAGGAGUACUAUUGAAUUUCACAGUGUUCCUAAGCUUUCUCACAAUAGCACCCACUUGUCACUUUUCCCUAUACCUCAGAUUGGCUUAAAGUCCUAUGCCAUAUCAUUUUGUCAAAACUUUUCCAUAAAUGGGCUCUGAGGUGAUAUUGUUCAAUGUCUGCUGUGCAUUUUUCAGUCAGGUCCAACAGCAAGAUUCCACCCUGCUCUAAGCAGAUCUCCCUCUAGAUGAUCCUUUCUUCCACCCACUGGUCUUAGCCAUGGGGAAGCUGGACAUUCUGCACAUUUGUUGGGAAUCUGGAAUGUCUGGAAAUCCAGGGCUCCCCAGGGUUUCAGUGUUCCAGGGGACAAGGACAGUGAGCUGCAGGUGCCUUGCUGUCUGUGGCAGAAAGAACACUGGAUAGAGGCAAAGUGGAAAUGGAGAUUUGACAUGUCAGCAGAGAGAGAGAGAGUCCUGUUGUGUACCUUCGUCUGUGGUCCAGUCCUGCUCUUCUCUACAUCUCCAAGGGGAUGAAGAAACGUGAAACGGAAUUCCUCCUGAUUUCACCCUCUUCUCCUGCUCCUUCCUUGCUCUCCUGCAUUGGCCUGUGUCAGGAGCAGGGCUGGGCUAGAUUGGCUGCUGGUCUGAUCAGCCUGAGCUGCAGCGUUGUGAAAACUGUAGCUUUUGCUCCUGUGCUGGGAGUCCUUGCUCAUUAGUCCUGUAACACUGGAAGGAUUUGAGGUGGCUUUUUGCUGGUUUUGACUUUAAGGGAGUCUAAGCCUGCAGGAAUUGAAGGAUGCCGACGGCCCCAUGGAGCAAGCAGAGUGUGAGGGCUCUGGGAGGGGCAGGAGCUGACCAGGACAGCACCAUGCAGCACACCCUGCCUGGGUCUGAGUCAGAGCCUGCCGCUGCAGCAGGGUCUCUGCAGUCACACAGAGACUGCCUCUGAGCUUUGGGGAAAACAGGGUUCUCUCAACACCUUUCUGUCACACUUCUCCUUCUGCCUCCUGUCGAGACAGACUGAUCCAGCCAGGACAGGAUCUGCCACUCCAGCUUUCCCUUUCUGCUGCUUCAGUGUAAGCAUUCUCUAGCUUGCUCUGUCCUGUGGGUUUAGCUCAGAGCUUCAGGGCUGUUUGCUGGCUCUUGACCUGCUUCACAGUGGAAAAUUCUUCCACAAGUGUUACUUACAGGAAGCAAAUGAAUAUCUCCUCUAAAUGGUGUGGCUGAGGAAAUGGGUCAUUUGGUGAAGUACACUGUUUACUGGAUAGCCAGUGGCCCAUCUCCAAAAUAUAUACUUAGUCUGAAGGAAGAAAAAUAUCUGAAAUAAUUCACUUUUUGUGUCAGUUUUGAAAUGUUACGUAGUUCAUACUAAAAUUUAAAAUGUGCAUUUUCAUGUGGGCUAAAAACUUCCUAGCCUGUUCCAGAAAAUUGGUAAAACCAAGUUUUAAAUUUCUUUCAGUAAAAAAUCCUGGGUGUGUA